rnacentral:rRNA from 1 species
ACUCCUACGGAGGCAGCAGUGGGGAAUAUUGCACAAUGGGGAAAGCCCUCGAUGCAGCCAUGCCGCGUGUGUGAAGAAGGCCUUCGGGUUGUAAAGCACUUCAGUAGGGCAGGAAGGUAGUGUAGUUAACACCUGCAUUAUUUGACGUUACCUACAGAAGAAGCACCGGCUAACUCCGUGCCAGCAGCCGCGGUAAUACGGAGGGUGCGAGCGUUAAUCGGAAUUACUNGGGCGUAAAGCGCAUGCAGGC